UAUCCAUUGAUGCAUGCUCUGUAUCUCUGUCAGUGGUUGAGGUAUGGGCUUUUCUUAACCCAAAGGCCAGUUCUGCCAAGAAGACAAGCUCCCAGUGGAGUGUCUUUGGUGCUCAACGUUCUCUCGGGAAUAGAGCGGUGUUGCCAGGAGCAAUUGUGUCUCACUAUCACGAAACUCUGAGUUAUAUUAAAGGCCAUAUUCUACAGCUCUCCAAAGAGGUUGAAGAUUAUCUAUCUAUACUGAGUAUAAUCUCUAUAUAUCUAAAGAACCUGAUUAGUCUAAUUACAAAUGACAAACUUAGAUGACUAUUAAUCUAUAUAAUUCUCAAUAUCUAUCUAACUUAAAGACUAAAACAAUAAACAACUGUGCAAUAUAUGAAGACAAUGAUCUUCAUCUGUAAACAAUGUCAUUACAUAUCAAAUGUAAACAAUGUUAUUACAUAAAUAGUAUCAGAGGUAGAAAUGUACAUUGUGAUAUGGUAGAUGUAUCAAUACAAUAUAAGCAUAUUCUUAUACAAAAAUAGAGGUAGGAACACUCACAUUCAAUAUUCAAUAUGUCAAUAUACAGAAAACAGUACCAAUACAAUUUUCUAAAAACAGUAACUCACAAAUACCAAUCAUCCCAUCAAACCAGUUAAUCCCCCCCCCUUUUUUUUUUUUGAACAUACCCCUAAUUCCAUAAAACAUCUCCCCAUCCCCUCAACCCCAAACCAACCACUAAAAGAUGUCCCUAACCCUGAGGGCAAACUCUGUUGGGAGAGGGGACGUCGUCCUCUAAGAUUGCUUCAAGCUGACAUGGGGGCGAUGUUCUCCUUAGGGGCUCCUGUGAAAGCAAAUGAUGGUAAAAUUCCCAAAUUAACCUUUGACCUAAGAAAAUUAUAACUAGUCCCUGAGCACUUUGAGAAGGUCCGGCCAGAG